GACGAACGCUGGCGGCGUGCUUAAUACAUGCAAGUCGAACGAAAAGGCCCUGCUCUUGUGGGGUUCUCGAGAGCCGAGCAGGGGAGAGUCACGUGUGUAACCUCCCCUUGUCUUUGGGAUAACUUCUGGGAACAGGGGCUCUUAUCCCGUAGAAUCUCUUGAUGCAUGGUGUUGGAUGGUAAAAUUCGGCGUUUGGGGAUGUAGUCGAGGCUUAUCAGCUUGUUGGUGGGGUAGUGGCGUACAAGGCCUUUGACGGGUAGCCGGCCUGCGAGGGUGACCGGGCCCAUUGGGACUGAGGUACGGCCCAGACGGCAACGGGAGGCAGCAGUGGGAAACAUUGCGCAAUGGGCGGAAGCCUGAUGCAGCAACGCCGCGUGCGGGAUGACGGCUUUCGGGGUGUAAACCGCUUUCGACUGUGACGAAGAGUGAGUGACGGUAAUGGGUAAAAAAGCAACGGCUAACUACGUG
rnacentral:rRNA from 1 species